AUGACUUUGAUCUGCGUCCUCAUCUGGACUCUCCUCUGCUGCUGCUUCACAGAGUCCAGAGGUCAGGUCACGGUGACUCAGCCUGCAGCAGUGACCGCUGAUCUGGGAAGAUCUGUCACCAUCAACUGUAGGACCAGUCAGAAAGUUCUUUUUUACAAACCAUACCACUAUUUAGCCUGGUAUCAACAGAAAAAUGGUCAAAUUCCAAAGCUGCUCAUUAUGGUUUCCAGCCUUCGAGCAUCAGGGACUCCAAGUCGUUUUACAGGCAGUGGGUCAAACUCUGACUUCACUCUGACCAUCAGUGGAGCUUUAGCAGAAGAUUCUGCGGUUUACUACUGUAAGAGUGAACACCACAUUAACAAUCAGUAUGUGUUCACACAGUGAAAAACAGUCAUAC